rnacentral:lncRNA from 10 species
AAAAUGUCGGCUGGAUAGGAGGUGCUCAGUAAGUGGCAGCUUCUGUUGUUUUCUGUGCCUGGAGUCUUGGGCCUUUAGAAAUCAGGAACAAUGAUCCAAUAUUAUCGGCUUCCGUGAGAUAAGGGCAUCUUGCCUGGAGGCUGCCACCCAGGCCGGUCAUGGCAGCUGCUCAUGAAGGACAGUAACAAUUUGGCAGUUUGUUAAAUGAACAAAAUGUAGAAAUAAAGUAAGCAGAAUUUUUAGUUUUUCUGAAGGUAGGGCUUUUGGCCAGAUAUGCAGCAAUAAAAGAGCAAACUGCUUCCUUGGGCCAGUGUCCUUGCUCAUAGAUCAGGAAACCGAAGCAUGAAGAAUACAGGCGGCAGAUGCCUGAAGAACAAAGAACAGCCACCAUGCAGCUCUUCCUCCUCUUGUGCCUGGUGCUUCUCAGCCCUCAGGGGGCCUCCCUUCACCGCCACCACCCCC